GAUGAACGCUGGCGGCGUGCCUAAUACAUGCAAGUCGAGCGAACAGGUGAGGAGCUUGCUCCUCUGACGUUAGCGGCGGACGGGUGAGUAACACGUGGAUAACCUACCUAUAAGACUGGGAUAACUUCGGGAAACCGGAGCUAAUACCGGAUAAUAUAUUGAACCGCAUGGUUCAAUAGUGAAAGACGGUUUUGCUGUCACUUAUAGAUGGAUCCGCGCCGCAUUAGCUAGUUGGUAAGGUAACGGCUUACCAAGGCAACGAUGCGUAGCCGACCUGAGAGGGUGAUCGGCCACACUGGAACUGGGACACGGUCCAGACUCCUACGGGAGGCAGCAGUAGGGAAUCUUCCGCAAUGGGCGAAAGCCUGACGGAGCAACGCCGCGUGAGUGAUGAAGGUCUUCGGAGCGUAAAACUCUGUUAUUAGGGAAGAACAAAUGUGUAAGUAACUAUGCACGUCUUGACGGUACCUAAUCAGAAAGCCACGGCUAACUACGUG
rnacentral:rRNA from 1 species